GUUUGGGUACAAUUGUCUGAAGAGGAUUUUUGCAUGAGUUUGGUUAGCCGAGGAGAAUUUUUUUGAGAAAGGGAAGAGGAAAGUUGGAAUUUUCGGCAUAAUCCACGGGGGCUCUCUUAGUUUUAAAAGAUUCCAGUGCAAUUGAAAAAGGGAGAUACCAUAGGCCGACAGUUGAGAUUUACUGACCAGGAUGUUGGGAGUGCUGCGUGGUUUCCAGAAGAUUCAUGACGUAUUGACACGCCAGCCAUUCACAUCUGCAGCGGAUGGGACACAAGCCAGAGUCAAGCCAAACAUGAGCACGAGGAGUGGAUUUGGGGGCUAGUAGAAUGGAUCGAAGAAUGGAAUUUUGAAUGAUGUCUAGCUUGCUUACCAGAGACGAGCUUGAUUGGAGGAUGACUGGAUAAGAGUAAUCCAUGAUGCUUCGAACAAGGGCAAGGAUCUUGAAGAGAUUGUGCCUUUGAGCAACUUUACCAAGUAACUCAAGUAUGUGUGGCCUCCAUGACAGUUUUCUGUCGAAGAUAAUGCCUAGGAAUUUGCCUUCUUCUACAUCAGGAAUUCUUUCUCCCAAGGCUUCGAGUUGGAGAGGCGCAUUGGAUCCUCUGCGUCUACUGAAGGAGAUAGUAAAAGACUUGGAGACGGAGAUGGUGAACUUCCAUAAUUUGCACCAUUUACAAAAACGGAACAGAGCCUUCUGAAGUGCCAGACGGGCCUUACGUCUGUGACGGUGGGCAAUAGAGGCUGAAAUGUCGUCUGCAUACAUCAGAAGUGAUACUCCUUGGGAG